rnacentral:lncRNA from 1 species
CGGGGCUACACAGAGAAACCCUGUCUGGAAAAAAAACAAACAAAAAACAAAAACAAAACAAACAAACAAACAAAAAGAACUGGGGAGGGGGAGUCUACCCAAAACCUCUUCUUUUCCCCAAGUGCUGAGGUUUGAACUGAGGAAAUGCAAUGGGACAGGCAGGUGCCUCGCUAGGACCCCAUUAAAGUCAGGAGAGUACCGCAGUAGACUCGCCUGAGCCUCUGUGACGUCACAGGUCCCUGAUGUGCUCUGGGCUGCUCUGUGGAGGCCCCUAUUCUGCUUCUCCCUGACCUUCUACGUAUUCCUUCUAGCAGCAAAUAGAACCUUUCAGACAGUUCUCCUGUCUUUGGAUGCCUCACCUGCCAACCACAGCUUUUCAGUUGGCUUCACCUCUCGCCCCGCCCCCGUCUUAUCACAUUGAGCAGCUGAGCCUCAUUGCUGCAGGCUGAGCCCCAGUCAGUCCGGACAGGAUCUAUAAUUGCUGUCUGCCCCUGCUGAGGUGUUCUGAGGUGGGCGAAGGAGCUAGAGUCCAGGGUGGGCAACACUUCCUCUUCUGCUUCUGUCCCCUACCUCGGGUGCUCAUGCAGCCCAGGACAGGGUAGUGGGCCACCAGAUCCAACAGGCUUUCCUGGAUGGUGAGGGGUUUGGGCAGGCAAAGGAGUAAAGGCCCAGAGAGUACUAGGGGAAUGGGUUAGGAUAGGGGGUGGCUUUAGGAGCUGAGCUGAGAAAUAGUUACCCCAAGCACUUUGUGCAAUCUCAAGUCAACUUGUCAGAACGGAUUUGAUGGAUGUUGGGGGAACCUGGGUCACAACAGUGCUCCCUUAGUGCAGGGGCGGGGAACGUUAGUAAUCAACAAAUGACUUGCAAGUUGCUAGAGAGACCGGGUGAACUUACACUCCAUUUUCAUCACUUAGCAAAGUCAUUUGAUAAAAAUCCGUGAGCUUUGUUAAUUUUAACAAAGAACACAGGGAAGCAUCUUUAAACAUUUUAAAGCAGGAUUUGGGGGCACGUGUCUGUAAUCUCGAAAGGCCAAGAAAGGUCUCAAGUUUAUGAGUCAACUGGGCUACACUGUGACUUCAAGAUCAGUCUGAUCCCAAUGGUUAGAGCGAAUCUCAGAAAACCAAACCACACCUUGGAAUAUUGCUCAGGGGCAGAAUGGCAUGCAGGCAUAGUGCAAGGUUCUGGAUUUGAUCUUCCAGGUUUUCAAGUCUGCUUAUCAAUUUAUAGUACCCUACUGGUGUGUUCAAUAUUAUGAAAAUCAUCUUUAGCUGAAGAUCUAAGUUGCCAACAAAAAUAUUUUGCUUCUGGCAUAUAAGAGGAUUUUAAGCUUCCCCAAACUGUAGGAAAUCAAUCAAAUGGAAUAAUCUUGAUGUCUAGCUUGCACGGCAGUGGCUUCUUCCUUUGCUGUAGCCAUAAAUAUUAAGUGGGCUUCUUCUUUUCUCUGUCCGU